GCUAUUCUGCUGAAUGGUGAUAUUUUUCUCAAUGCUGCAGGGACAGGAACACUGGUAUCUGGGAUGAAGUAUCAAUAUCUAUUACUGGACCUGUGAAGAUUAUUGAUCCGCACCUGGUUUCAUCAUUUUUUGAUGGUUUUAAGAGGGCAUACUUGCAUACUACUGUUGAAUUGGAAAACGAAAGUUCGUGGGCUGCAGAGUGUUCACUGAACCUCCAGGUGACAACAGAGGUAGAAGGAAAUAUUUGCUUGAUUGAACACCAUCAGACUUAUGCCGUUUCAGUUCCUCCUGGAAAAGUUAUUCAGUACACUGUUCCUCCACUCUUCUUUUACAAACCCGUGUUAUGGUGGCCGAAUGGUAUGGGUAAGCAGUCUCUAUAUAAUGUCGAGAUUUCUAUUGAUGUAAAAGGAUUUGGGGAAUCCGAUUCAUGGAAUCAUCAAUUUGGAUUCCGCAAGAUAGAGAACACAAUCGAUGAGGCGACUGGUGGAAGACUAUUCAAGGUGAACGGCGAACGAGUUUUCAUUCGCGGGGGAAACUGGAUAUUGUCGGAUGGACUAUUGCGGCUUUCGGAGAAACGAUACAUGUCAGACAUAAAAUUCCAUGCAGAUAUGAACUUUAACAUGAUCCGGUGCUGGGGUGGAGGACUGUCAGAGAGACCAGAAUUCUACCA